AGUGAACGCUGGCGGUAGGCCUAACACAUGCAAGUCGAACGGCAGCACAGUAAGAGCUUGCUCUUACGGGUGGCGAGUGGCGGACGGGUGAGGAAUACAUCGGAAUCUACUUUUUCGUGGGGGAUAACGUAGGGAAACUUACGCUAAUACCGCAUACGACCUACGGGUGAAAGCAGGGGAUCUUCGGACCUUGCGCGAUUGAAUGAGCCGAUGUCGGAUUAGCUAGUUGGCGGGGUAAAGGCCCACCAAGGCGACGAUCCGUAGCUGGUCUGAGAGGAUGAUAGGCCACACUGGAACUGAGACACGGUCCAGACUCCUACGGGAGGCAGCAGUGGGGAAUAUUGGACAAUGGGCGCAAGCCUGAUCCAGCCAUACCGCGUGGGUGAAGAAGGCCUUCGGGUUGUAAAGCCCUUUUGUGGGGAAAGAAAAGCAGCAGGUUAAUACCCCGCUGUUCUGACGGUACCCAAAGAAUAAGCACCGGCUAACUUCGUG
rnacentral:rRNA from 1 species